GGGUCGUUACAUUAAGCUUUCGUUCAAUAUGAAAUAUGAAUACAAUACUACUAAUUUCUUUUAACAUAUGAGAUAUGACGCUUUGAUAUGACUUCUUUAAUAUCAUAGUGCAUUUUCUUUUUUAGUAUUCGAAAAUUACUGGCUCGUUAAAGGGUCUUUAUAGAAAAUUUUCAUUUUCAAGGCACAAAGCUGAGCACUUUGAU
rnacentral:lncRNA from 1 species